GGCCUGCUUGUGGCACUGAGUGGUGUGUUGCCCCAAUGAGGCCUGUGCUGUUAUCAAUGUGCUGUCUGUCUGUGUGGCCUGGGCCUGUCUGUCUGUUUGUCUGUGUGUCCUGUCUGUCUGUGUGGCCUGGGCCUGUCUGUCUGUGUGGCCUAGGCCUGUCUGUCUGUGUGGCCUGGGCCGGAUGUGGCAGUCAGGCUCUACAGGAACCUAGAGCUCUGCUGCCUUUCUGCUUGACCAGCUGUUCCCAACUAGCUGUAGCUACUGGCUGACUGGGUUGAUCUGUUCUACUGUCCAUGUGGUAUUAGCUAGUGAAUGACAGUAGCACUCACCAGCUCUGGAGACUUCGGCAUGUUUUACAUCCAUCUACUUCCUAGCCUGUCUUCAUUUUAACAUCAAAGAUUUGACAGGUUUCAUAUCACAGCAAGAAUUCACACUAACAUUGUUCCAGAUCAUUCUAUCAUCACAUCAUUCUAAUAUACGUAGUUAAACUCAGUCUUUCAUCAUGGCUUGCAUACUGUUGAUGUUGGCUUGUGUUUUCAGUUCCAUGUACAAUGUUACCAUCACCACCUGUGGUUUUCUCUGGAUCCCUCUACGAAGUUAAUCUUUUAAUCAGUUAGUCAUUUAAUGUUCUGUGUGUUUAUUUGAUGAGUGGUGGUAUUAAAGGGUCAUGUUGUGGCAGUGCUUUUUGCAAAUGGAGCUUUGUGUUGCUAUUGUCCCUAGGGCAGGUAAACUAACCUCAGGUAAACUAAUGAUGACAGGUAAACUAACGUCAGGCAAACUAAACUCAGGUAAACUAACCUCAGGUAAACUAAUGAUGACAGGUAAACUAACGUCAGGCAAACUAAACUCAGGUAAACUAACCUCAGGUAAACUAAUGAUGACAGGUAAACUAAACUCAGGUAAACUAAACUCAGGUAAACUAAUGAUGACAGGUAAACUAACGUCAGGUAAACUAAACUCAGGUAAACUAAACUCAGGUAAACUAAUGAUGACAGGUAAACUAACGUCAGGUAAACUAAACUCAGGUAAACUAAACUCAGGUAAACUAAUGAUGACAGGUAAACUAACGUCAGGUAAACUAACCUCAGGUAAACUAAUGAUGACAGGUAAACUAACCUCAGGUAAACUAACCUCAGGUAAACUAACCUCAGGUAAACUAAUGAUGACAGGUAAACUAACCUCAGGUAAACUAACCUCAGGUAAACUAAACUCAGGUAAACUAACCUCAGGUAAACUAAUGAUGACAGGUAAACUAAACUCAGGUAAACUAACGUCAGG